rnacentral:rRNA from 1 species
ACGAACGCGGGCGGCGUGCCUAAUACAUGCAAGUCGAGCGCGGGAAGCGAGCGGAUCCCUUCGGGGUGAAGCUCGUGGAACGAGCGGCGGACGGGUGAGUAACACGUGGGCAACCUGCCUGUAAGACCGGAAUAACCCCGGGAAACCGGGGCUAAUGCCGGGUAAUACUUUUCUUCGCAUGAAGGAAAGUUGAAAGAUGGCUUCUYGCUAUCACUUACAGAUGGGCCCGCGGCGCAUUAGCUAGUUGGUGAGGUAACGGCUCACCAAGGCGACGAUGCGUAGCCGACCUGAGAGGGUGAUCGGCCACACUGGGACUGAGACACGGCCCAGACUCCUACGGGAGGCAGCAGUAGGGAAUCUUCCGCAAUGGACGAAAGUCUGACGGAGCAACGCCGCGUGAACGAUGAAGGUCUUCGGAUCGUAAAGUUCUGUUGUUAGGGAAGAACAAGUACCGUGCGAAUAGAGCGGUACCUUGACGGUACCUAACGAGGAAGCCCC